UGGGGAAUAUUGCACAAUGGGCGAAAGCCUGAUGCAGCAACGCCGCGUGAGUGAUGAAGGCCUUCGGGUUGNAAAGCUCUGUCUUUUGGGACGAUAAUGACGGUACCAAAGGAGGAAGCCACGGCUAACUACGUGCCAGCAGCCGCGGUAAUACGUAGGUGGCAAGCGUUGUCCGGAUUUACUGGGCGUAAAGGAUGCGUAGGCGGAUUUUUAAGUGAGAUGUGAAAACCCUAAGCUUAACUUGGGGACUGCAUUUCAUACUGGAAAUCUAGAGUGCGGGAGAGGAGAAUGGAAUUCCUAGUGUAGCGGUGAAAUGCGUAGAGAUUAGGAAGAACACCAGUGGCGAAGGCGAUUCUCUGGACCGUAACUGACGCUGAGGCAUGAAAGCGUGGGGUAGCAAACAGGGAUUAGAUACCCUGGUAGUCCACGCCGUAAACGAUGAGUACUAGGUGUAGGAGGUAUCGACCCCCUUCUGUGCCGCAGUUAACACAAUAAGUACUCCGCCUGGGGAAGUACGAUCGCAAGAUU
rnacentral:rRNA from 1 species